ACCGCCCCCCUCCAGAGUGAUGACCUACUUGCCGCAAGCCGGACCGACUGUGAUAUGUGACAGUUGAUAACCAGGAAUUAAACAAAGUCAUCCCACUUUUACAUGCUGCUGUCCUCCCACUUGGGACUUUUAGACCAAUUGGCUCUAACUCUGAGGACAUGUCAUUAUGUUUUGCCCUUCUCUGUACAAAUGCCCAUGUUUCGCAGGCCUAGUUUGCAGACAGGGGGCAUUGACAAUCCCGCCAAUGGGACACCUGCACAGUUCCACGAGAUGCUGUGAGCUUGUGGCCAGGGACUUAGAAGGGUGGGCCAGGGAGGGGAAUGGGAGCGCGCUGAUCUCUGAGCCUUUGCCAGAUUUAGAGCCUGUGUCACCAAGUGUUGUUACCCACCUGCAAGCGUGGAUGGGCCAUCAGUCCUGCAGAGGUCCGGGGGGUUGGGUGAGACACAAGUAGUGCCCAGGGCUAUGACUGAUAAGAUGCAAGCGUACAUCCCACCCCCCAUUAAUUUCACGAUUGCAAACCUUCCUGGACUUUUUAGGUGGGUGUUUAUUACUGAGACACAGCUGGUCCCUCUGUUGGCUGCUGCCCAGGACACUGAACCGAUCACUCAGCGAGCACCAGUGUUGGCGCAGACCACAUACCCAACCCGCAGAUAGGUCCAGAGCUGCUUAUACCCCAGACUAUCACCCUAGAGAGAUGGAGAGUCUACCUCGAACAGCGUAGCAUGUUAUUGAAUAGUCUACUGAGUGCGGAAUUACAGGACAAACUGGGGCCAUUGGAGGGCCAGGACUCCCUGGCCCUGACAGAACUGCCUCCAACGGCCCCUUCUAGGGAAGGAAAGGGAACGAUACCUGAGUCCGGCUAGUCCAUGGACCGGUCCAGCUCUGGUACCAGUGCUGCAUGCAUUGCAGUACAGCCCUCCACCAGUAUCCUUGGGAAUGAGGCAGGGGUAGGACAGAGUAGCCAGUGGGCCAAGUUUGGGGCUGUGUGCCUUGGGGUGGGUUGGGAAGAGGGUUCUUUGAGCCCAUGUGCAGAUAGAUGGGCUGACCAUCAGGCCCUCAUCCCAGGGGCUGCACCCCUUAUACAGUUAAUAGUCUCUUUAGAGGAUGUCCUGAUAAAACCCUGGAUGGGCGCCCAAGGCAGCGUACUCCCAUCGGUGCCCUGCACCUUCUCGCCAGACACCAAGGUAUGGUUGGAGUGGCCCCGGAAGGGGAAAGCCCCUCGUUUCUGUCCGAUUGCUCCCUGGGGGACAGGUUUAGAACAGAACCUAACUGUGGCCGCUUGGGUUAGGAACAAAUGGCCUUUAGAAGUUUAUGUCCCUCCUGAGGGGGAUCUGUAUCCUCUCCCUAAUGAGUUCUACAGUGUUUCUCUCUCCUGAAGAUCCCCCAAGGAUUCCAUCAGAAGGCCGGCUAUGGUACACCAAACCUGGCCAGAACCCUAAGGCCUCCGACUCAGGACUCGAAAUUUGGUUGCAUACUGUUGGAUGGGCAGGACUUACCGUUGCUUGUGCCAGUGACUUCCCUCUCCUAUCACCUUUAAACUGUGUCAUACUAAUACUGCCCUGUAGGGCCCUUUGGGCCUGUGGGAACACUGUGGGCUUACUCGGUGGGACAAUGGAGGGGGCAACAUACCUGCCUGGAGCCUAUCCAACCAUGUGGCCUCACAACUUGGAUACCUGUGGGGAUGGGCAGUACAUGAAGUGAACACCAUGGGAUGCCAUAUUCUCACCCCAAGGGGAGGUUUGCACACAGCAGCAGGUCACUGCUCUGACCCUCCAUCCGGAGCAGGCCCUUAAUGCUCAUGUGGCGGGCUAUCCCUCCUGAACGACAGAUUUGGACAAAUGUGGAAGGUCAUGCUGCAAAACUGAAUGGCUCUUGAUCUCCUCAUGGCUGCCAAAGAUAGCACGCCUGCUCUGUUAUACACAAGGGCUGUGUCUUCACCCUUGACCAUAGUCAUAUCACAUUCAGCAACCCCACAAACCGUGAGCUCACACAAACAGGAGAUCCACACCCUCAUGGAAGAUCCCCUGCAGCGGUGCUGGAAUAGCCUGGGCUCUACUUGGCCACAACUGCUGACCAUCCUCCUCUCUGAUCAUGACUUCAGAGAGGUGGUGCCAUGAUAUGCAAAUGAACUGGAUUUAAGGGAGGGAAAGCUUUGCAAAGUCACCUGCCUCACUUUCUCCUCCAGAAGCAUCUACCUCCACUGAAAUACUAGAGCGGCCAUUUCCUUCUCCAUCACAUUUUACAGAUGAGGAAACUGAGGCAAGGUAAAGUGACUUGUCCAGGAUUAUACAGCUAAUAUCUGAGGUCAAAUUUGAAUUCAAGAAGAUGAGUCUUCCUGAAUCCAAGCCCAAUGCUCCAUUUCAUCUAUUACUCCAACUAGCUGCCCCUCUCUUUGCCAAAAGGCCAAAGGAUAGCACUUUAAAUAUCCUGAGAUUACUUGGCCCUCUUCAACAAUGAGAUGAACCAAAUCAGUUUCAAUAGAGCAGUAAUAAAUUGAACCAGCUACACCCAGCAAAAGAACUCUGGGAGAUGACUAUGAACCACUACAUAGAAUUCCCAAUCCCUCUAUUUUUGUCCACCUGCAUUUUGAUUUCCUCCACAAACUAAUUGUACACUAUUUCAAAGUUCGAUUAUUUUUGUACAGCAAUAUAGUUGUUUGGA